CAGCGCCCCUCUCUCUCGAUCUCCGAUGAUGGUAACGAGAUUAGGUAAAAAGAUGGUGAUGUGAGGUGCCGACGGCCGGAGACACCGUUCACGGCGGCGGCUCCUUGUUUCUGUCCGAUGACUUCGAGGUAACCCCCACCCCCCUUUUUCACCUCGCCCUCUUCUCUCCCGUUGAUUUUCUGACGACCGGUGACGGAGAGGAUGACAAGCAUAAGUUGGUUGAUGAUGUUGGAUCGGGUUUGGUAUGGUUAACUGGUCAGUGGGUUUGGUUCGGGCUCGGUCAGGACAAGUCAGCGGUCAAGUCACGUGAGUCUCGGGUCAGGUUCAGUACGGGAUUCGAGUCGGGUCAGCGGUCCAGUCAACGAGUCCGCACAGGUUACUCGCGAGAUACGGAUAAUCACUCUUGUUCGCUCUCUUGGAAUUUCCGUUCACUCAUGCACCAUCGUUUGCCCUUAUAGGGUGACCUCGGUGUUUCGUCCUCCUAAACUCGUACCCACGUCAACGCUUGGAUAAUCGGAAGACUUAACAAUUAUGUGGAUGUCGACGAUGCAUGGAACUUAGUAGGAUGCUUAGAUACACACUUAA